rnacentral:rRNA from 1 species
GGCUCAGGAUGAACGCUAGCGGCAGGCUUAACACAUGCAAGUCGAGGGGGUAAUUGGGUUUUUCGGGUACCCAAGUAGACCGGCGCACGGGUGCGUAACGCGUAUGCAAUCUACCUUUUGCAGAGGGAUAGCCCAGAGAAAUUUGGAUUAAUACCUCAUAGUAUAGUACUUUGGCAUCAAGGAACUAUUAAAGUCACAACGGCAAAAGAUGAGCAUGCGUCCCAUUAGCUAGUUGGUAAGGUAACGGCUUACCAAGGCUACGAUGGGUAGGGGGUUCUGAGAGGGAGAUCCCCCACACUGGUACUGAGACACGGACCAGACUCCUACGGGAGGCAGCAGUGAGGAAUAUUGGACAAUGGGCGCAAGCCUGAUCCAGCCAUGCCGCGUGCAGGAUGACGGUCCUAUGGAUUGUAAACUGCUUUUAUACAGGAAGAAACACUCCGACGUGUCGGAGCUUGACGGUACUGUAAGAAUAAGGAUCGGCUAACUCCGUG